GAUGAACGCUGGCGGCGUGCCUAAUACAUGCAAGUCGAGCGAACAGACGAGGAGCUUGCUCCUCUGACGUUAGCGGCGGACGGGUGAGUAACACGUGGAUAACCUACCUAUAAGACUGGGAUAACUUCGGGAAACCGGAGCUAAUACCGGAUAAUAUAUUGAACCGCAUGGUUCAAUAGCGAAAGACGGUUUUGCUGUCAAUUAUAGAUGGAUCCGCGCCGCAUUAGCUAGUUGGUAAGGUAACGGCUUACCAAGGCAACGAUGCGUAGCCGACCUGAGAGGGUGAUCGGCCACACUGGAACUGAGACACGGUCCAGACUCCUACGGGAGGCAGCAGUAGGGAAUCUUCCGCAAUGGGCGAAAGCCUGACGGAGCAACGCCGCGUGAGUGAUGAAGGUCUUCGGAUCGUAAAACUCUGUUAUUAGGGAAGAACAAAUGUGUAAGUAACUAUGCACGUCUUGACGGUACCUAAUCAGAAAGCCACGGCUAACUACGUG
rnacentral:rRNA from 1 species